rnacentral:rRNA from 1 species
UUUCCGUAGGUGAACCUGCGGGAGAAUCAUUGUCGAACCU